AUACGUAGGGAGCGAGCGUUGUCCGGAAUUACUGGGUGUAAAGGGUGCGUAGGCGGGACUGCAAGUCAGAUGUGAAAUGCCGGGGCUCAACCCCGGAGCUGCAUUUGAAACUGUGGUUCUUGAGUGAGGUAGAGGUAAGCGGCAUUCCUAGUGUAGCGGUGAAAUGCGUAGAUAUUAGGAGGAACAUCGGUGGCGAAGGCGGCUUAAUGGUCCUAUACUGACGCUGAGUCACGAAAGCGUGGGGAGAAAACAGGAUUAGGUACCCUGGUAGUCCACGCUGUAAACGAUGAUUACUAGGUGUGGGGAGACUGAACCCUUCCGUGCCGCAGUUAACACAAUAAGUCAUCCACCUGGGGAGUACGGCCUCAAGGUUGAAACUCAAAGGAAUUGACGGGA
rnacentral:rRNA from 1 species